AUUUAGUCCUCUCUAAUGCAAAACAAUGUUCUUACCAAAUUGCUUCGCCUCGCUUGUGGACAAGAUCAAGAUUUCUAUUAUCCUAGCGUCUAACUUCAUUUAUUGAAUAGUUUGAUGCUCGAGAAACGUAGAAAAACAACU